rnacentral:lncRNA from 1 species
GCCUCCAGGGUACCUCCGGGAGCCCAGGGAGCCAGGCGGGGGCGAGAGGGAGCCCCAGAAGGAGCGCAACAGGCAGGUCCCGACCCGUCGGCGAUCACGCGGCGAGUCUCUGCCUCAAACCGUCCGCCGCCUCCGAGCAGUCGCCGGAUUGCCGCCUCCCCACCCCCACCCCUCUCGCUCAGGAGAGGCUCUGCAGCUGGCGUACAGGCCCGCAAGCUCGCCCACGCAUCAGCCCACGCCGCGGCCCUCGGGUUUGCAAAGAUGUCCGCCAAGCCCAAUGCCGGUUUCGUGAACGAGGCUUCUCGUCAGAUUCUGGCCGGUGGUUCCGCUGAGCCCGAGCCCGAGCCCGAGCCGGUGGAGCGCGGGAGCAAAGGAGGCCGGGAGCGGGUGUCCCAGGUCAAGUUGCUGCGGAGCCCUCGCCAGCCGCUCUCUGGUUCCCCGCCUUCUGUGUUCCUAGCCUGGAAAGCAAGGUAGGCAGCCCUCAGGCCUGCAGCUUUGAGGAGGCCUUUUUGUCAGGCUGGUUAUUUUUUGGGAAAAGAGCCAGUUUCCGACAGACUUAUUUCUGCUGUCAAUUGUAGCCGCUUUAUCCCUUCAGCUAACUCAUAACCCCUGCCUCCUUCGUUAAAGUGUUUACCUCAGGACUCCUCCACAGGUUUUCUUAAUGCAUCCUGUGACUGCUUGGAGCUAUUUGUGCCUUAAUAAGCAUACUAAAAUUACAUGAAUAUGUCAACACAUAUAAACACCUUUGAUAUAAUAGGCUUACAUUAAUUUAUGGAGAGUUAUGCUGUGGGGAAAAGCCUUUAGGAGAAAAAUCUGUUAUAACUAAUUGUGGAAAUAAUUACUAAGUGUGGCUAGAAAAAGUUACUAACCCAUGAGAUUAUGUUAUUUGAACGUAUUUUAAAGAUUUUUAAAAAUAUAAAUUAUGAGUUGGUUGAAAAUUUCAUCUUAUAUACUGUGAUGCAUUUUUAUUAUGAAUAUAUAAAAUAAUUACUGUAAUUCACUCAAAAAUAUUUUUAUAAAUGUAAAUAUUCUCUUAAUAAAUUAUGGUAAUGCUAAUAUAAUAAAUCAGUAAGAUUACUCGAUGUCUAAUAUUUAACUCUCACAAGUAAAUUUUAUUUUCAAACAAAUUUAGACUUUUUAUAAAGGACUUUUACAAAUUAUGACUAGUUAUCAUGUCAUGAAAUCCUUGCAUCUGUUGCAUACCAUAAACAGUCAGGUGUAUUACUUGUAAUCUGUACAGUUUCCUAAAGAUGACAUCUUAUUAAUGUGGCAAUUAAGACAUUCAUUUCGUAUAUGUAAUUGUGCUAUGUCCAGCCGUUGUCAUGAUGUCAGUGACCCCAUUUUCUACUUUUUUAGUUGUUUCCCAGUAGUAAGGAUGAAUUUGCACCAAUUUAUUCACCAUUUUGGUCUAAUUCCAUAGUGUCCAAGACUCUGCUAGCUAUCCCUAACUCCCUUGAUUUAUAGUCCAUGACUCUGGUCAAAGAAAACUCAGCUGGGCCAAUAGGGAGAUGGAGCUAAUUAGUGAACAUCCUAACCUAUGACUUGUGAUUCAUAAGCAUCUGUAUAUUGGCUUAGAUGAUCAUACUGGGUAAACUCAAGGGAAGUUAAAAGUAGAUCAGACUAUGGUCCUACUUACACUGUUUUGUUAGAUGAUACAUAUUUGGCAUAAAUAUAAUGUGUUAUUCCAUCAUGUUUUUAUAGUUGUAACUAAUAUGAAUGAAAUUCAGUACAUUUAUAAGAUAAACAUAGUAUAGUUGUUAUAUAUUUAGUACUAUGAAAUUAUUGAGAAAUGAUGAGAAUAAUUUAUACCUUCAUCAUAGUGAAAAAGGGUCAUGUUUUUUCCUACUUGGCCAAUAACAUUUCCAUAAAACUUUAUAUUUAUUGGACUUUAAUAAAGACAGGCUAAUCAUGUUACAUAUACUAGAUAAGGGGUCAAAAAGAAAUUAAUAUAUGAGAGAGGUAGAACAGAUUUCUUUGAGUGAAAAAAGCAAGGCCUGAUAUCACGUAUAAUUUAGCCAUACACUUCUAGAUUAACUGAGAUGGGGCCUAGGUAUAAGAACAUUCUGGAGCUUGGAAGUCAACUAGUACCCACUGUGCUAAGAUAUCUGAUUAUAGCUCUUCUCUGCAGCCACAUUUGCCCAUUGCCAGUAUUGGAAUGAUAGGAGUUUUAGCACAAGGGAAAGUGGUAACAUUUACUUGACCUGCUAUUUCAGAUUCCCUAGCAGUUAAGUUCUGAUUGCUGAUAUUGUCAUCAAAUGCAACACCUCUAUGUAUAUGUGUUAUAUGGGCUUUUGAUGCUAAAGGUUAAAAAUACAUUCCAGCUUUCUUGAGGGUAAAACAAGAAGUUGGAGAAGGUUUACUGGAGAAAUACCUGGGUAUCUCAUGGAAUUCAAAGUCUGAGAUGCUUAUCUGGAAUUGACUGGAAUCUGGAGCUGGAGCACUGGGGCAACUCAGGAAGUGAACUCUUGCCACUUCUUACUUCUUCCCUUACCAAUGGUUAAGCAUUUUCAAGGCAGCAGGGUGGUGGCUAAUAUUAGGGUCACAAGUAAUACUUCUGUAUUCAUUAGGGUGCCUUGCCAUACUUCCAUAGAUUUGCCUGUUGAAGAGUAAACAUGUCCAAAUGGACACAGGCAGCAAAAGUAAGUCUUACAGUGUCAGUUCCCUGUGCCCCUUGUUCUACAGACAAAACUGAAGAGGCCAUAUGAUAGAUGGUAUGGGUGGUGGAUCACUCUGUUUUUGAGGAGCCCCCUUAGAUCCACAGACAAGCUGUUUUAUAGACUUAAUUUUGAGGUCUGUAGCUUUACCCUAAGUGAGAUUGAGGUGGAAAGUCUUGUGCUGAACUGAAACUGGGGAGAUGGAUGAGAAAUGGCCUUGUGACAGUCUCCCACAGAUAACAGGAGAAACAACCUCCCAGCCGCUCCUCAUCAGGCUGCUUGUCUUCUAUUAGGUUAGGGAAAUCACAGGGCAUUCUGCCAAAACUCAGGUCAGAUGGUAGUCAAGCCUUGUGUACAUGGUCUUUGGGAGAUGAGCGAGGUUGUCAAGCUGGAGAUAUUUCCCUGUUCCUGAUAUCUUCAUCAGUCUUCUUUCUUACAGUGAACUGGUGUUUUGUGCUCUUCUGUCUACAUGGAAGAAUGUGGUCCCCAGUAGCUCCUGAGCUUAUGUGCUCUUGACGUAUUCUAUGGAGAAAGCAAGAGAGUGACUCGUUUAUUUGUUUUUCAUUCCCAGUGUAAAAUGCUGAAGAAGGUCUCAAAAUAAUCCAGUAUUGGUCAGGGGCCCACUUCUGAACCACUCAACUGUAGUCAAUACCCAUGGGGAGGAUUGGGGAUCUCAGGGGACAUUAUUUUCCAAAGAAGCUAAACAUAUCAUGAGAUGGGCAGUAGAUGUCUUUUAUAACAAUAUAUGUAUGUCGUUUUUUAAGGGACUGUUUGUAAUAUUUAUAUUUAAAAGACUAAAUGAUGCACUGAUAGUUGCUUGAACAAUACACAUCUAAAGACUGGCCUUGAGCUUGUAGCUAUAGCUAUUAUAUAUAGAUAGUUACUAGCGGCAACUUUGGUUUAUAUGAUGAAAGCCAUGCUCAAGACAAGUCAAUAUGUACUAGAGUUUAACAGAGAAGCCUUCUAGUCUGUGUUCUCAGCUUUAAAUAAUAGCAUAAAAUUCAGGUGAGCUAAUAGAAGCCAGUAGAGAGAGCAUCAGGAACAUCAGCAAGGCCUGACUGCACAGGGGUAAGGAAGAGACCGGAAAGAGGCCAAUGGAUUAGUACUCAAAAUAUGGUCCAGGAAUGAGCAGCAUGGACAUGGUAGCAUCUGGAAGCUUGUUAAAAAUAUAGAAUCUCAGGACAAGCCUACCCCAUACCUACCAUAUCAGAAUCUGCAUUUUAGAAAGGUCCCCAAGUCACUGGUUUGCACUUUCAAGUUUUAGAAGCACUAUGUUAGAAGACCUUUGAGAAAAGAAUUAUCCAUGGAAUGGGAGCCAGAUUGUAGAAGGUUGCAAGUUAAAUCUUUCUUAGUUUUCAUUGCUGACCAGAGAGAGGAGAGUGAAUUCUCUACUUCUUAAUUAUGUGCCCUCAAUUUAACUUUCAAGCUUCUUUUCCUAUCCUCUGCUACACAUCCCAUUUGGUAUCUGCUCAAUAGAUCUGUUCACUGUACUUGAAUGUUGCUUAUACCUCUCCAUUUUAAUUUUCAUUGCCUGGGAUGUCUUCCCCUUAUUUUCUCUACCUGUUGAAAUCCUGCCCACUUUCCAAGGGCUGACUUGAAAACUAUUUUCUGUGUAAAUGUCUCCCAGGUGGCUGCUACAGCCCCAUCCAGGUUUAACAUUCUCAUUAACAUUGAAUGAUGCAGAUAAUAAAAAUAGCUAACAUUUAUGGAGUAAAUACUAAAUGUCAUACCUAGUCAAAAUUUUACAUAUGUCUAUGUUUCGAAUCCUCACUACAACUCCAGGAUGAAGAAGCUGAUGCACAGAGGGCCUAAUUAACUUGCCUGUAGUUGCACAAGCAUGUAGAUCAUUUCUGUAGGAACAGGAUAAGAGAGAGGCUAGGAAAUAAUAUUCUCACUGGUAGAUAUUUUUAGAAAUUGGAGAAAUCAAGUCUACUAUGAUCUGUUAUUAUUCUCUCUCUUUUAUUAGUGUGCAUCCCUUAAAACAACUCUUAUCUACUCAUACAAUCCUUUCAGUCUUUCUUCUGAAUGGUAUCUUGCUCUUUCCAAAUAAUUUCAUCUAUAUGGGCAUAAGAUUAGCUUUUAGUGAAAAGAAAAUUCUAAUCCGUCCCACCCAUCAUGUGCAGUUGGGCGAUUGUGGACUGAAAGGGGCUCUGACUUCUGGAGCAGGUGGGAGCUGAGAUGUAGCCUAUGCUUUAAUUCAUAACCUGUGUAUCCUAGAGCAGAGGUAAGUCUGCCUGGGGGCGAAAGGAAAUCUUUUUCUACUUUUUGUGAAGACACUAAAUGGCAGCACACCUGAUAUCCGUGAUGACAGAAUUUCCCCAAACUUGCUGGAGCUCUCAAGGUCCCUGGGCCUCAAUAUCUCCCAGGUCCCACAUCACUGCGUUGCCUGCUCCCCAGUAGGGCUCCAUGAGGUUUCCCUUUUACCCAUAUCUCUUCCUUGGAGCCAGGAGCAUGACUCCACCCCAAACCCUCCCAUUCUCCGUAAUGACCAAUUUGGGCUCUUCCUUGUCUUUCUGAAACUCAUGGGGUUCUUAUUUCCCAUUUCAUGUAGGAGCCUUUUAGGCCUGCUCAGAUGGAUAUCCUCCCCAAAUUCUCACAGAGCUCUGACACCCAACUUCAGAAUCUUCCAGCAUCUCUGACAAAGCCCCCUUGGCCUCCUGAGAGACCCUGUUCUUGGCCAGGCCUGUCCGGCUCCCUUCUGAGAGCUUGGCUAGGCCCUGUCCAAACUGAAUUUCCUCCAUAGUAGAAUCUCUAGGACUUUCCUCCUCCUGCCUCCCAGAAUAUUACACUCGUAUUCCUUGGUGUCUGCAAGUCCCACUCCGAAGUCUGUUGAGGGUAUUUCUCAUCUGUCUAUCAUUUUACAUAUCACCAUGCUGGCAGAACAUUGAUUUACUUCCCAGAAUUUCCUGGCUGUUGUUUCUUCCUCUUCAGCCCCAUGCUGUUUUGUGUCUUGUAGGCAAAAACUCUAACACAUCUUCAAUCACUGUUUUUAUUUUGUGCAUCUCGAUGGAAGUGUUUUAGUCAAGUUGUUUAGUCAAAGUAUCCUGGAAAUAAGUUUUUCAGUUUUGCGCUAGACACAGUUCAAGUGCCUUGUACAGUUAAUCACCUUCAAGGAACCAGAUGAGAGAGUGAAAUGAAAGACUUUUUCUGGAGGCGGGAGACCUGGGAUUCAUGGAUAGGCUUCUGGGAGAUGAACUGCUGAGAGUAUAUGUAAAAUGUACGUUAUGUUGAUGGGAGAGAGUCCAAGGCUUUUAACCUAAAAAAGGGCACUAAAAAGGUAUAGGAUAAUUUCAAAUUUUAUUUUUUAAACUCCUGAUCUUAUAUAUGUUAUGUAUCUUCAUUUUCACAAGAUUUCUUCCUUUUCUUACUCUAAAACAAAAUACAGUUAAAAGAAAAGCCUUAAUAGACAGUAUGUAUACUAGUAGUACUCUAGAUUUUAAUUUGGACUUGGUAAUAAAAGGGCUGAUACACCAGGGGGUAAUCAAGGUUAAAAUUUUGAUCAAGGAAAAUUCUUUUUCAGAAUGGGUGCAAAGGGGACACACGUGUGAUUUCGAUAAAUGGUACCUUUGGAAAUACAGAAUUUGGCAAACUGCAUUUGUUUGUUAAUAAAUUGCAGGUUGUAAUGAAACAGGUGAGCCAUUAUGACACAUCAAAGAGAGGCUGGAACCCAUUAUCUGG